CAUCAAAAUGGCGAUAUUACCAAAAGUUCUCUAUAGGUUUAAUGCAAUGCCAAUCAAAAUCCCAACGGCAUUUCUUGUAGAAAUGGAUAAAGCAAUCAUGAAAUUCAUAUGGAAAAAUAAAAGACCCAGAAUAGCAAAAGCAAUUCUAAGCAGGAAGUGCGAAUCAGGCGGUAUAGCGAUACCAGACUUAAAACUAUAUUACAAAGCAAUAGUAACAAAAACAGCAUGGUACUGGUACCAAAACAGGAGGGUGGACCAAUGGUACAGAAUAGAGGACACAGAGACUAAUCCACAAAG
rnacentral:lncRNA from 1 species